UGAUCUUGUAAAACCUGUGUGUGAGAGUGACAGUGAUGAUAAAAUCUAUGUGAUGAAGUCAAAUCCAGUUGUUCUCUUCAUUACAAGGAAAACAGCCAAAUUUCAUACAAAAAUUUGGACACACAACUCUACAAGAAGGAGAAGAUUUAAUCCUGCAUUGCACAGUACAUGGAAAGCCCAAACCUCAUGUCUGCUGGACCAAGGAUGAUAUCCAAGUGGUAGCUGGAGACAUCAGUAUUGAGAAAUUAGGAGAUAACUACUACCUCUUAAAAAGAAAUGUGGCCCUUGCUGAUACUGGGAAGUAUAUCUGCAUUGCCAGCAAUGAAGUCGGAAAGGCACACUGUUCUGCCAUAGUAACAGUGAUAGGUGAUUCUCCUUGGCCAGCUGCAUGCUUUAAGGCAUGUUAAAUGAGAGCUUCAUUUCCAAUUACUGAUGUAUAUGUCUUGUUUCAGAGAAAAAUAAAAACUCAGAAGUUUCCA
rnacentral:lncRNA from 1 species